GCUUGUCUCAAAGAUUAAGCCAUGCAUGUCUAAGUAUAAGCACUUUAUACUGUGAAACUGCGAAUGGCUCAUUAAAUCAGUUAUCGUUUAUUUGAUAGUACCUUACUACAUGGAUACCUGUGGUAAUUCUAGAGCUAAUACAUGCUGAAAACCUCGACUUCGGAAGGGGUGUAUUUAUUAGAUAAAAAACCAAUGCCCUUCGGGGCUCCUUGGUGAAUCAUAAUAACUUAACGAAUCGCAUGGCCUUGCGCCGGCGAUGGUUCAUUCAAAUUUCUGCCCUAUCAACUUUCGAUGGUAGGAUAGUGGCCUACCAUGGUGGCAACGGGUAACGGGGAAUUAGGG
rnacentral:rRNA from 1 species